rnacentral:rRNA from 1 species
UGCAGAAUCCCGUGAACCAUCGAGUCUUUGAACGCAAGUUGCGCCCGAAGCCAUUAGGCUGAGGGCACGUCUGCCUGGGUGUCGCAC